rnacentral:rRNA from 1 species
AUGCGGCUGCGCUGCGCGCAUUGCCACGCGAUGCAGUUAUGUGCGGCACGAUGGAGUUACGUGCUGCAAAUUAGAACUGCCAUCAGGGCCUGCCGAUAUUCCUGGCCGUCCGGCUUCCCCUUUAAUUCCCGCGGCCAUUAUAACCUUAGUCUCUUCAACCUUUCGAUCGCGCCCCACAACACAACAAGCACACCCACGACGACACAUAGAGAGGGGAUGUCCAGCGGCACUCCAAUGGAGUUCAGCGAGCAUAGAGUGGAGACCCACGCAAGGGAGACGGAUCUCUCGGUGGUGUACAGCAUCGACCCGACUGUGGUGGACGACUACAUCAACAACGUUGAGCAGUUGCUUGCUAGAGACAAGUACAAGGUGGUCGGCAUCGACCUCCAGUACGCCGUCGGUCGUCCCGUCAUAGAUCAGAAGGUUGCCGUUGCCCAGUUGUGCGUGCGCCAUCAUGUUCUCAUCUACCACUACUACAUGGCCACAGAGCCUUGCGACCGUUUCAACAGGUUUGUCAACAGCACCGACUACAAGUUCGCCACGGUGGAAACCACCGAUGAUUCAAAAGCGCUCAGUGUUACGGGCUUGGCCUGCAAGAACCUUGUCGAAAUCCGUGACCUCUAUAGGGUCUGGGGCAGCACGAAGAAGGACUCCCUGGUCGAACUCGCCUCGGCCAUCUUCGACCCCUACUACAAAAAGAUGAAGCAGGAUGCCCAAAGAACAAGCCCCCUAUCCUGGCACAGGGCCUGGAUGCGGCAACUGGAUGAACCUCACCCCAGGUCCGCGGCCAAGAGCGUGUACACAUGCUACGAGAUGCACAGGCGGAUAGUUGACAUGAGGAAGUGCCUCCUUACCCAAAUCGAUGAGCCCGGAUCGAGCCACAAGCAGAGCAAGCGUCACAAGAAGUAG